AUGAGCUUCGGCCGCGAUCGUCCCGUCCCUCUGCCUCGGACGGCGGCCAAGUCCAGAAAGCCUCUAUCAAACCACCCUACAGGGAGCCACCUGUCUUCAGAUUCAGUUUGUCAAGAUAAUUUACUGGUUAGAGAAGAUGAACAAAACAGUGAACUUCAUGCUUCUUUAAUCAACAAAAAUGAUCAAAAGAAACAACAAGAGGAAAAGAUGAGAAUGAAAUAUGAAUUAGAAGAUCUAAGGGCUCAGUAUGAACAGCUUUUAGAAGAGGGGAGCAGUGAAUGUUUUGAUGAAAGGCGUGUUAAUCUUCUAAAGGCUCAAGUACUACAGCUGGAAAGGCAGGUAGUGCUACUUACAGAAGGAUUAAGUUCUCGAGCUGCUCUUAUGCUGGAAUUAAACACUUCUUUACAGACUAUUGCAGACAAGCUUAGCUCUUUCCUUAGCACUGAAGGAACCACCUCUGAAGUAAGCGUGCCCUGUGCAGAAAUUCGUCAAACAAUUGAGCGGUGCCAGACAAUGAGACUCAAACUACAAAGAAACCAGAAAGUUUCUGAUCUAUCAAGACUUGCAUUGCCUUGGACAUUGGGAGGAAACUUUGUUAUACAGCCAGUUACACUCCUGGAUGUUUGCUAUGGCAAAAUAGAAAAUUUAAAUCUUAGAUAUGUGAGCGCCCUUGAAGGGAAACUUAGCAAGCUGUGGAGACACCUGCUUGCCAUGAGGCAAAAUCUGAGUUUCAUGCUAGCCCCAGGACAGAUGUCCUCUGAGGCAGCUCAUCAUACCCUACCAACUGUUGUUUAUGCUCGGCUGAUAAAUCAUGCAGCUCAGUGUCAUCGGUCUGUGGAGGAAUGCUGCCGUGACUUGUUCACUUUGACACUUCUGGUACCUUCCGCACCUUGGGAAAUCCUGGAAAAUUCCUUGAGCCAGGAGUUCACUGUUGAGAAUGUGCUUGCAGUGCUUCCUGCCUUCCCAAAGGGUGCCCCUCAGCAGCGUGCAAAAAGAGCUGUUGAAGCGCUGGUAAAGGCUCAAAAUUAUUCCAGGCAAAUGGCAAUGCAACAGACAUUUGCUUUGCAAGCUGAACUUAAUUUCCAUAGAACUCUGUAUAAUCUCCAAGUUAAGUACACCGAAGCUCUCUUCAGUGGAAUAAAGCAAGCAUACCGCACAUUUCAAGAUAAUGUUGCUAUGGUUCUCUGCUCACCACUACAAGAUGUUUUUUCUUCUUAUGCAAAACUUAAAACAGAAGCUUCUGAGUCUGCUUUGAGAGGCUUUCUUGCUGCUUUCAAAAAUAAUGCUGAACAGAUCCAAUAUGCAGUUGAAAGUUUAACUCCACCGAUGAAUCAGCAGUGUGAAGGUGAUGAGGCCUUGUCAAAGUUUGGAAAAGAGUUCUUCCUGUCUUUGGAACGUGUUCUCAAAGCUUGUGGAGAGCAGCGGGAUAAAGCAGCCAGUGAAAUGGAGACCUUACAAACAGAACUUGAUCAAGCCUUAGAAACUCUUCGGAACUUAAGGGAAAAGAAGGCGAAGAAAUCAGGAAUCAACCAGCAUUUCUCAGCCCAUGAAGAGGGUACAGCAGAAGGGAUGGAAGCAAGUAGCUUGAAUACACAUCCAGUUGCUUGGAAACAAUCCCCGAAGAAGGUUUGUUAUUCAUAGCAUUUCUCAAGCCAGCUAUGGUUCUCCUUAAAUAGUCUCAGCAUCCGAGAAGUUUGAUUGUUCCCCUUGGCUUGCUACCCCAGCUGCAAGCCAUACUCUAGGCUCUCAUGCUUAUGAGUCUAAUAAACCUGCCCAGAAUGACA
rnacentral:lncRNA from 1 species